rfam:Solanum lycopersicum cultivar Heinz 1706 chromosome 2, whole genome shotgun sequence.
UGCAGUCAAUGAUGAUUUUUUCCCAAAUUGCUGAAUGACAGUGAUUAAUAUAAAAGAUCACCAUCUUUCGGCUGAGAUUGCA